CCCUGGCUCAGGACGAACGCWGGCGGCGUGCCUAAUACAUGCAAGUCGAGCGAAUCAAUAGGAGCUUGCUCCUGUUGGUUAGCGGCGGACGGGUGAGUAACACGUGGGCAACCUGCCUGUAAGACUGGGAUAACACCGGGAAACCGGUGCUAAUACCGGAUAAUCCUUUUCCUCUCAUGAGGAAAAGCUGAAAGUCGGUUUCGGCUGACACUUACAGAUGGGCCCGCGGCGCAUUAGCUAGUUGGUGAGGUAACGGCUCACCAAGGCGACGAUGCGUAGCCGACCUGAGAGGGUGAUCGGCCACACUGGGACUGAGACACGGCCCAGACUCCUACGGGAGGCAGCAGUAGGGAAUCUUCCACAAUGGACGAAAGUCUGAUGGAGCAACGCCGCGUGAGCGAUGAAGGCCUUCGGGUCGUAAAGCUCUGUUGUUAGGGAAGAACAAGUACCGGAGUAACUGCCGGUACCUUGACGGUACCUAACCAGAAAGCCACGGCUAACU
rnacentral:rRNA from 1 species